rnacentral:tRNA from 1 species
GGAUGUGGUCUAAUUGGCAAGACACCCGGCUGUUAACCGGGAUGAUGCAGGUUCGAGUCCUGCCGUC